rnacentral:rRNA from 1 species
UUCACCUACGGGGGGCAGCAGUGAGGGAUAUUGGUCAAUGGGGGAAACCCUGAACCAGCAACGCCGCGUGAGGGAAGACGGUUUUCGGAUUGUAAACCUCUGUCCUCUGUGAAGAUAAUGACGGUAGCAGAGGAGGAAGCUCCGGCUAACUACGUGCCAGCAGCCGCGGUAAUACGUAGGGAGCGAGCGUUGUCCGGAUUUACUGGGGGUAAAGGGGGCGUAGGCGGGUAAGCAAGUCAGAAGUGAAAUCAAUGGGCUUAACCCAUGAACUGCUUUUGAAACUGUUUAUCUUGGGUGA